GGAGUAGUACUCAAGUAGGUUAUAAGAGGCGUCCCUGCUAAGGACGUAGUCCAUAAAUUGGUGCAAGGGUUCGAAUCCCUUCUACUCCGCCA
rnacentral:tRNA from 1 species